GUGUCAGAUCCCGGGUCGUGCUCACGAACCCCAUGAGGGUCAGCUCAGAAGCGGAGGAUCCAUCCUGCUCUCGUCUCAUUGGCCCGCGCAAGUCACGUGCCAGAGGCCACCAGGCAUGCCUGUAGAAUCCCACCCGCGAGAGAGGUAUCCGGGCUCUCCGGAUGCUGCUGGGAGGAGGCGGUCUACGACAGCUCAACACUUCUUUCCAGAGCCGAGGGCCUCCUCUCCAUGCCUGCAACGCUCCGCCAUGCUGAUGUUUUGAAACAGUGGCUAAUUUGACAAGCCAAUUGGAGUCCCCGGGAUUGCAUUUGACUUUCUGACUAAUGACGAGAGAGGAACUCCCUUCUCUUAGUGCGGCUUACCCGUCGGAUAGCCUUGGGCCAUUGCCUGAUCCCAGUGUUCAAAAUGUUGCCUUGUAAAUUGUCUAAUAAAGUAAUAAAGAAAGGGACUUGA